CCUGAGGAUUGGCGCCUGGUUGUCCAAACUGCCAAGCUGCUAGCAUGGUGCUGGCUCUGCCUUAAUCUGGGCCAGCUGUUACCCUCCUGGACAACUUGUGGAAGACAGAGUUUGAACGUGCCUUCUCUAUUUUGAAAGACUACCAGUUGGAUUGCACUGGAGCCAGCCCUGCAGGCUUGCUAGCAGCUUAGAAACACGGACGAGUGAUGCGUUUUCCCUCUAGUCCAGCCUCAAGACUACUUACAUACCACUGCUAUGCACGAAAUCCGUGGCUCUUUUGCGUGACAAUUCUCCUGACUCCAGAUGUGAGUCAUCUUGGUGAACUGUGAUCCCUCCCACAUCUUCUGAAGAAUGCAUGGGACUUGUAAGGAAGUGAAGGCA
rnacentral:lncRNA from 1 species